GUGGAAAUGAUCACCUGACUUCUUAUGCCAUCAUCACCUCCGAAGAAGAUAUUGACAUGGGUGUCAUAGUCCAUUUGAGGAUUGAAGAAACAUAAUGCAUCGACCGUUUUCUCAUCAGUGCCAUUAACUUACCUCUCUACGUUACAUGGUCUGUAGGAAGUCUAUACCCUUGGCUUUGCCGCUGCCGUAGACUGUAACUUCCUCUCUUUGGUCAUGUGGAUGGAGCAAGUAAUCUAUGAAAUAUGCAGCAAAAGCACUGUGAGCUUCAAUGGUGAUAUAGGGUGACCUUUCCAGACAGCACCAAAGCAGAGAGAGAGCAAAGAUCAUGGUGAACUCAAGCUGUUCAAGCAAGGAUUAUUGGUACGAGAAGUCGUGAUGUAAUCGUCAGGUUCUAUUAAAUAAGGUUUUGAAAACCUAGUUGCAGAUACAACUCAAUCUGUUGAUGACUCCACCGGUGAUGAACGCGUUUCACGUCUUUCGCUUGCAUGCCUGAUGCCUGAAAUACAAGAAGGCCAAAUGGAACUUGGUGGUGCACGAUCUGGCUAUUCCUAGCUGGAUGGCGAUCCGAACUCCAAUUGGGCGACAAACUGGAUCAAUCUGCAAAACAGUGGAUCUGAGAACCUGGGGUAGCUAACCCGACGAGGUCACUCCGAUGCUUAAGUCAAUACUUAUGCUAUGAAUGCGAUCUGAAUACUUGAAAGAUUGAGUGCCAGUGAGUUGAGUAAUCACUCGUACAUUUUCCUUGAGGUUUCAUGUCUUUAUAUACUAAAGCAGUCGUAGGCCCUACGAAAGAUCUCCGGGUUGUGUAGAUAA